rnacentral:rRNA from 1 species
CAAUAGCGUAUAUUAAAGCUGUUGCGGUUAAAAAGCUCGUAGUUGGAUUUCUGUCAAGGACAACUGGUCCGCCCUCCGGGUGAGCACAUAGUUUGGUCUUGACAUCUUGCUGGAAGCUGUUGCUGCACUUGGCUGUGUGGCGCAGUGUUCAGCACUUUCACUUUGAGGAAAUUGGAGUGUUUCAAGCAGGCACAUGCCUUUGGACACAGUAGCAUGGAAUAAUUAGAUUGGGCUUUUGCUCCAAUUUGUCGGUUUCUGGAGCUGAGGUGAGAAUUAAUGGGGAUUGUUGGGGGCAUCCGAAUUUAGCCGUCAGAGGUGAAAUUCUUGGAUCUGCUAAAGACGGACAACUGCGAAAGCGUUUGCCCAGGAUGUUUNCAUUG